rnacentral:tRNA from 1 species
GUCCCUAUAGCUCAAUGGAUAGAGCGCUGGCCUCCGGAGCCAGAAAUGCAGGUUCGAUUCCUGCUAGGGACA